UCAAGCUACGAAGGGCACAAGGUGAAUGCCUUGGCGCCAGAGGGCGAUGAAGGACGCAGCAAGCUGCGAUAAGCCACGGGGAGCCGCAAGCAGGCAUCGAUCCGUGGGUUUCCGAAUGGGGCAACCCAGUCCCGGUUAUGCGGGAUUACCGGCGGAUGAAUUCAUAGUCCGCCGGGGCGAGACGAGGUGAAGUGAAACAUCUCAGUAACCUCAGGAAAAGAAAACGAAGUGAUUCCGCAAGUAGUGGCGAGCGAAAGCGGAACAGCCCAAACCGGGAGGACUUGUCCUCCCGGGGUAGCGGGACCCCGAUAUGGCAAGACUGAAGCUAGCGUAACGGCCUGGAAAGGCCGGCCAGAGACCGUGACAGCCGGGUGCGCGAAAGCCGAGGAAAGCCUAGGGGUAUCCCAAGUAGUGCGGUGCACGUGAAACUCCGCGCGAAUCCGUCCCGACCACGGGAUAAGGCUAAAUACUUCCUGGCGACCGAUAGUGGACUAGUACCGCGAGGGAAAGGUGAAAAGAACCCCUGUUAGGGGAGUGAAAUAGAACCUGCAACCCUGUGCCUACAAUGUGUUGGAGUCCCGCGCAAGCGGGAUGACAGCCUGCCUUUUGCAUAAUGAGUCUGCGAGUUAUUGUCGGUGGCCGCCGUAGCCCCUCAGGGGCCGUGGCCAAGCGAAAGCGAGUGCGAACAGCGCGACCCGGUCGCCGGCAAUAGACCCGAAGCGGAGGUGAUCUACUCAUGACCAGGUUGAAGCUGGGGUAACACCCAGUGGAGGACCGAACUCGUGGAUGUUGAAAAAUCCUGAGAUGAGUUGUGGGUAGGAGCGAAAGACUAAUCAAACCCCGUGAUAGCUGGUUCUCUCCGAAAUAGCUUGAGGGCUAGCGUCGGGCAAGUACUCCGAGGAGGUAGAGCACUGGAUGGCUUAGGGUCCCCACCAGGAUGCCAAAACCAAUCAAACUCCGAAUUCCUCGGAUCCCAUUAACCCGGCAGUCAGACGGCGAGGGAUAAGCUUCGUCGUCAAGAGGAUAACAGUCCAGACCGCCUGCUAAGGCGCCCAAAUACCGUUAAGUGGAAAGGAUGUGACGUCGCUGAGACAGUGAGGAUGUUGGCUUAGAGGCAGCCAUCAUUUAAACAGUGCGUAACAGCUGACUCAUCGAGCGAUGUCGCGCCGAAAAUGAUUGGCGAUAAGCGGUAUGCCGAAGCAGCGGGUGCGCGGGGACCACGGUUCCCGCGCGCGGUAGGAGAGCGUUGCCGUCCCGGCGAAGCCGUUCCGGAAGGAAUGGUGGAGGGGCGGCGAGUGAGAAUGCAGACACGAGUAGCGAUAAACCGGAUGAGAAUUCCGGUCGCCGUAAACCCAAGGUUUCCUGGGGCAGGUUCGUCCUCCCAGGGUUAGUCGGGAGCUAAGGUGAGGCCGUAAGGCGUAACCGAUGCACAGCAGGUCAACAUUCCUGCACCGGCAGGGGAUUAGGCGACGGGUGACGCAGAGAGAAAAGUGCCUAGGUCAUUGAAAGACCGAGCCGAGGCUUCGGCCGAAGCGCAGCACCGGACAAUCUGCCAAGAAAAGCCCGUCAACGUUCCCCGGCCGCCCGUACCGUAAACCGACACAGGUGGGUGGGUGUAAGUGCACCAAGGCGCGCGAGAGAAACCUCUCUAAGGAACUCGGCACAUUAGCCCCGUAACUUCGGGAGAAGGGGUGCCCACUUCGGUGGGUCUCAGUAAAUUGCGUUUAGCGACUGUUUAACAAAAACACAGCACUCUGCCAAGUCGUGAAGACGACGUAUAGGGUGUGACACGUGACCAAUGCGGAAAGAUCAAGGUGAGCCGUCAGCCGCAAGGUGAAGCGGUGAGCCCAAGUCCCCGUGAAUGUCGGCCGUAACUAUAACGGUCCUAAGGUAGCGAAAUUCCUUGUCGGGUAAGUUCCGACCUGCACGAAUCGUGUAACGACUGAACGACUGUCUCGGAGAGGAUCUCGGCGAAACUGUAAUUGCGGUGAAGAUGCCGCAUGCCCGCAGUAGGACGGAAAGACCCUAUGCACCUUCACUGUAAGCUGGCAUUGGGUUCUGGUUAAUGAUGCGUAGCGUAGGUGGGAGACUUUGAACCGCAGGCUCCGGUUUGCGGGGAGUCGCAAUGUGAAACACCACUCUUUGUUAAACAGAAUUCUAACCCCGACCUGUCAUCCAGGCGGGGGACAGUGCUUGCCGGUCAGUUUGGCUGGGGCGGCUUCCUCCAAAAUGGUAACGGAGGAGCGCGAAGCUUGGCUCAGCACGGUUGGCAACCGUGCGACGAGGGUAUGGCUAGAAGCCAGGUUAACUGUGAGACCAACAAGUCGAGCAGGUGCGAAAGCAGGCCCAAAUGAUCCGAUGGUUUAAUGUGGAAUUGCCAUCGCUCAACGGACAAAAGGUACGCUAGGGAUAACAGGCUG
rnacentral:rRNA from 1 species